UCACCACCUCACUCUCCGCGGUGCACGGAACCUCCCAACCCCCCGACAGCGUCCUGCUGGUCAUGGUGGUUACUAUCGUGGCGGCGCCCCAGCCAUGGUGAUCAAAUCCUGUACCGAGCCGGAUCCGGUGCGCUGCGUUGUCUACGGCAGAGCUGUCGACACGCACACGACGCGUGCUGCUAGCACGAUGGUACCUGACAUCGGCCAGUACAUCAGUGCCAGCCAUUUGCUUGCAGGUGUGAACUAGAGGCCCGGUGUCCGCAGGCGUUGCCAGCUCUUUUGCAGCUGCGUGGCACCCCGUCGAGGACAAGCUCCAGUUCUGCAAGUUCAUUCCGGAAUAUUCAAAAUCAGAUUGCCAAGGAUAUGGAGGCUUCUGACCACCGUUGGCACAACAAUCUUGUUAUCCACCUAUAGGUUGCAUUGGAAGCACUUGUAGUGAUCUUAGACUUCUUCACAAAGGCAACCCUAGAAAUUCGACAAGAGCUUCUUCACCUUAAACAAAUUGGAAUGGUUCAUAGUUCUAAAAGUAUGAUGGAGGGCCUGAGGCCUGAGCGUUUGUCCAAUCAAGAGGUCAGGGUCUAGCAAAGGUUACGGACAUUGCAUCUCAGUUUGAUACUGCAAGACUGCAAAUGACUAAUUUCGAGGGUUGCAAUUGUGUUUAAUUUCAGUAUCAGUUUGAGUCCACUAAUUAAUUAUUCAACUUGAUUAUUUUUUCCAUUAGGGACACAAUAGAAUGAACUAGAGAAUUGGAUUCAAAGGAAGUGUUAGAGCAACUGCCAGCAUUGCAGCAGUUAUUAUAUCGGCUUGUUGGAUGCCUGGUGAUUAUCUCUUGUAUCUUUUGGUUAUCAGCCUGAAGGAACUGCAAAUAACAACUACUUGGUGAAAUACGCACUAGCUUUAGUAAGUUCUGCUCUUUUGUUCGAUUUGUCUGUACUAUAGUGUGCCACAUCUGCGCUUUUAGGUUUGAAAGCAAUAAUUUUAAC